AAGUUUUUUUUUUUUUUUUAAAUAGUACUUAGAGAAAACAGAAAUUCAUUUGAAGAGUUAGCCUGAAAUGGUAAACCCCACAAGCAACCAAUCAAAAAAUCUUCAGAAGUACAAAGACAAAUUCGACUGUUUCGUCAGUCAUGUGAAAUUCUAAUACAGUAAACGCAAUCACCAUAAUCCAAAAGAAAACUAAAAUAAAAAUAAAAUAUCCAAGAAAAUCACCUGAAAUGGUAAACCCCAAUGCCA
rnacentral:misc_RNA from 1 species